rnacentral:Y_RNA from 1 species
GGCUGGUCUGAGUGCAGUGGUGUUUACAACUAAUUGAUCACAACCAGUUACAGAUUCCUUUGUUCCUUCUCCACUCCCACUGCUUCACUUGACUAGCCUAAA